rnacentral:rRNA from 1 species
AUGGAGGUGGUGAAGAGCCUCCUGAAGCCGAAGCCGACACCGCAGCAGCAGAUGCGCGAGUGGCAGCGCCGCCUCCGCAACGAGGGCCGCAACAUCGAGCGCCAGAUCCGAGACGUGCAGAAGGAGGAGAAGAAGGUGGAGAAGGCCAUCCGGGACGCCGCCAAGGCGCUGGCCAAGGAGCUGGUGCAGUCCAGGGAGGCGGUCAACCACCUCUACGAGAACAAGGCCCAGCUCAACUCCAUCUCCAUGCACCUCGGCAAGAUCGUCGGUGUUGUUCAUGAUGUUAUUACAAACUCUGAAAUAUGGUACUUUAGUCAAAUGUGCUUCCUUUCUGAACAACUGUGCACCUUGGAUGCUGCGAUCGACGGCCUCAAUAGCAAGACCCACAUGAAGAUCUUGCUAAAGUGGAUGUGGGGCAGGAGGAUCAUCAAGCUCUUGUGCAUGUAG